AAAGAAAGCGGGCGGCAUGCCUAACACAUGCAAGUCGAACGAGACCUUCGGGUCUAGUGGCGCACGGGUGCGUAACGCGUGGGAACCUGCCCUUAGGUUCGGAAUAACUCCCCGAAAGGGGUGCUAAUACCGGAUAAUGUCUUCGGACCAAAGAUUUAUCGCCUUUGGAUGGGCCCGCGUUGGAUUAGCUAGUUGGUAGGGUAAAAGCCUACCAAGGCGACGAUCCAUAGCUGGUCUGAGAGGAUGAUCAGCCACACUGGGACUGAGACACGGCCCAGACUCCUACGGGAGGCAGCAGUGGGGAAUAUUGGACAAUGGGCGAAAGCCUGAUCCAGCAAUGCCGCGUGAGUGAUGAAGGCCUUAGGGUUGUAAAGCUCUUUUACCCGGGAUGAUAAUGACAGUACCGGGAGAAUAAGCUCCGGCUAACUCCGUG
rnacentral:rRNA from 1 species